UGCCCCAUGGCUGAGUUGGUUACAGCGUCCGACUGUUAUAUCUUAACUACAUCGGAAGGUCGAGAGUUCGACCCUCUCUGGGGCAG